AAAAAAAAAAGAACAAUUAAAUUUGCACCGCUCAAACUCUACGUGGCUUUUGUGGACAAGUCUGUUGGCUUAAAGGGGCUAGCAUCGUACUUUGUUGCAGGAGGUCUGAUUAGAUUGAGCCACAUUCAAAAUAACAUAAGACUGGAUUGGGUCGAAUUAUGUUCGAAAUUGUGUGAGAUUGAUCGAACCGAGUCAUAAUUGAGACUUGUAAGCACCGUGUAUGUGCACUUUAAGUGAAUUAGUUGUGUAUUUCUAACAGCUCGAGCUUUUAAAAUUAAUAGUUAUUGCCAAUGAUUGGACAAGUAGUUUUAGAGACAGAGCACACGAAUUCGAUUCUCACAUGUUAUGAAUUUAUGCAGGUGCUGGAGGGGAGGGGGGGGGGNUGUUGGCUUAAAAGAACCAGCAUUCUACUCUAUGGCAAGAGACCAGAUUAGGCCGAGUCAUAUUCGAAGUGGCGUGAGACUGGUUGGGCCGAGUCUUGUUCGAAAUGGGGUGGGGCUGCUUUAAAAGUUUAUUAUUUUAUAUUUUAUAUAGAUGAUGGUAAAAUUACCUUAAAUAUAAAAAAAGCAAAAUAUUUUUUGUUUAAAAAAUAAUUAAGAAGGUAAGCACACUAUUUGUUUAAAAUUACUCUCUCUAACUGCUGUAGUUGAAACAGCGGCCAAUUUGGACGUAAUUCCUACUGUUGCAAUUAUACCUCCUCUUACAAUUCCAACUGUAGCAGUUAAAGUUAAACAUAUCGAACCAAACAUUGAAUUUAUAUUUAUAUAUAGUUACAACUACAGUAUAGUUAUAAUUACAUGCAAUCAAACGAUCCCUAAAUAAAUUAACUAUGUAUUUUUAACAAUUUAAAUUUUAAAAUUAAUAAUUAGCGUCAACGAUGUGACAAAGUACACGUAAUG
rnacentral:lncRNA from 1 species